UCAUAGUCUCUCCCUUCCCUCACUCUUCCUGCCAACUUGCAGAUGGAGGAGUGCAGACCUGAGCAUGAUGGAAACAUCUAGCUCCUAACCAUGGGCAAUUUAAGGGAUCACAGAACUGAGGGAUUUGAACCAUCUAUCUAGAACUCAUGGGUAUUCAGUUUUGUAAGGAUGGCCAUCUUUGUCAAACCAUAAUUAAAGAUAUUGAUGAAACUACUCUGUGGAAGGAGAAGGCAAAG